rnacentral:rRNA from 1 species
UACGUAGAUGGCGAGCGUUAUUCGGAUUUACUGGGCGUAAAGGGUCCGUAGGGGGCCGGCUAAGUCUGGUGUGAAAGCCCAUGGCUCAACCAUGGAACGGCAUUGGAUACUGGCUGGCUUGAGGUUCGCAGAGGAAAGUGGAAUUCCUGGUGUAGCGGUGGAAUGCGUAGAUAUCAGGAGGAACGCCGAUGGCGAAGGCAGCUUUCUGGGCGAUACCUGACCCUGAAGGACGAAAGCCGGGGGAGCAAACAGG